AAACAAAUCCGCCCCCCCGCGCGCUCACUCAGGUCCGGCGCAGGAUCGGCCCUCUCCUGGGGUGGGAUCCUAUGAAGCGGGGCCCCCCACCAGGGCCCCGAGCAGGCUUCCUCCCGAGGGCUGAAACAGCCCCUCACCGGCCCCCGGAUCGCAGCGCCUUCGGGACUCACAAACACUCCCUGGGGGCCGUCGGGACUCACAAACACCCCCGAGCUCACACACCCCCAACCGCACGCGCCAGGACGACGCCCCCUCCCCCGUCCGACUGAGAAAAAGAAACUUUCCAAGUUGUCCGCGCGCCCCCACCCCCAUCUGGCCCUCUCCUGCUCCCUGCACUAACUUUUCCGAGAGGCUUUCGGGUCCACGCGGCCUAGGGCUCGGCGCGGGGAGUCCCGGCAGGGGGCGGGGGGCCCCGGGGGCGCGCGCAGCGUACCUGCCCGGCCUGACACUCGGCCUGACAGCUCGCGGCUGGAAAGCACCUCGCGGCCUGACGUCAGAUCCCCUCUCCUCCCCCCGCGCCCUCCGCGCCCUCCCCCACCCGCCCGGAGGGAGAAAACAAACUUUGUGAGGAGCGCUACAAGCUGCGCCCACCCCCCGCGGGGCGGGCCGAAGGCGCAGAGGGGCUUCGCCCCGCCCAGCGCGCCCGGAGGGGGCGGGGCCGCGGGCACCUUCUUCCUGCGCCCACCCCGCCCUCAGGAAUGCUGCAUGGCCUCCCCAGAGCGGCGGUGGGAGCCUCGGCCGGGGAGAGCCCGCUCGGGGGCAGGAAGUGGCCCGGCCCUCCUCGUGGAGGGUGUUUCCGGAGCGCCUACUGUGCUCCUCGCCGGAGUGGGGUCGUUACCGAGGGGGAACUUCUGUAAAUCGUGACUUUUGUCAUUUCGCGCCCCCCACAAGAUGUCCUGCCGGCGGUGCGAUUGCUCCCGUUGCUUCGAGGGGAAACUGAGGCCAGUUAGUCCGGGCACUUACCCUCAGCUGGUAAAGGACUGGGCUCUGAUGGGGACGCCUGUUAUGACCUCAAGGGCCUGUAGAGUCUGGGAGGCCGCCUCCGACCUAAGCCCAAAAAGCACAUGGUCGGGCUCACAGGGGGCGGCCAGAGGUGAAAACUGCCAGUGCUUUGCAGCGACGCUGUGCGGGGCACUUCGUGUGUGUCAUCCCGUCUCAUCCUCGGGUGAUGGGAACUGUUCAUUCGGGAAUAUUGCAAACAGCUAAGUACCCCUCACCAGGAGCUGGCCCAUUAUAGCAACUCUGAGACCUCUCUACUGCAGGCUCUUAAAAUGGGGUAAGUUGGUGCACGCUAAUGUAGGGGCAUGGCCAAGGUGUGUUUAUUGACAGCUUACAGUGUCCCAACAUGGAGGGACUUUGGACAUACUUGGUGAGAACUUUAGUGGGAAAACUUUUUCGAAGUGAUAAGUUAUUUUAUUGUCAUUUUCUCCCCCCCACUUUCUUUUUUCUUUUUUUUUUUUUGAGACAGAGUCUCGCUCUGUCUCCAGGCUGGAGUGCAGUGGGGCGAUCUCAGCUCACUGCAACCUCUGCCUCGCGAUUCUCCUGCCUCAGCCUAAAGGCGCCCACCACCAUGCCCAGCUAAUUUUUGUGUUUUUAGUAGAGACAGAGUUUUGCCAUGUUGGCCAGGCUGAUACUGAACUGACCUGAAGUGAUCCACCGCCUCAACCUCCCGAAGUAUUGGGAUUACAGGUGUGAGCCCAGCCUUCUCCCCCUCUUUCUAAAUUAAAAAAUAUUGUGGUAAGAAGCUCCCCCCACCUUUUUUCCCCGUGUUUGAAGAAACUGGGUCACUAAGGGAAGAAGAGACUUGCCUAAUACAAGUUUGGGGUCCUGCCCUGGGAGGGAGCUGGGGAUAGACUAGGAGAGGAAGGAGAGGUGGAAAGGCAUCCAAGCCAAGACCAACCUGGCUGCCCAGGUCAUCUAAGUCAGUUCCCUGCCUCCAUGCCAGAGAAACCCAAACUGGAGACUCUUGGAUAUGAGGCUCCAGGUUCAUCCUGCCAGUUUCUAGUGAACUUGGUGAUCUCAUUGGUUCAAAUGAAUAAAUCCACUUAAAAAAAAAAAAAAAAAAACA
rnacentral:lncRNA from 1 species